rnacentral:rRNA from 1 species
GACGGAGGAGGCAAGCGUUAUCCGGAAUUAUUGGGCGGAAAGGGUACGUAGGCGGCUGGUCAAGUCUGGGGUCAAAGGCCACAGCUCACCUGUGGGAAGGCCCUGGAAACUGACCGGCUAGAGUGAGGUAGGGGUUGCGGGAAUUCCCGGUGUAGCGGUGAAAUGCGUAGAGAUCGGGAAGAACACCUGAGGCGGAAGCGCGCAACUGGGCCUCAACUGACGCUGAGGUACGAAAGCGAGGGGAGCGAAUGGG